AAGUACAGGUGAUCAGACUUUCCAAAGUGCAGACAUGGGAUAGCACGAGGGAACGUUUAAGUGGACGGAAACAAUCACUUCGCAAGGGUUAAGAGUUCCAGUGUAUUAGUUCACAUAUGACCAAGAGACACAUUACCACUUGCAUUAAACCAGGCUGAGGAUGAAGAAUCUAGCAAUAGAAUCUGUUUAAUCUCAAAUAAACCAACCGAAAAGUAAAAUGGAGCCAGUAGUCAGAGCAUGAAUGCCCAGGGGUUUGGG